GAUGAACGCUGGCGGCGUGCUUAACACAUGCAAGUCGAACGAAGCAUUUAAGACAGAUUACUUCGGUUUGAAGUCUUUUAUGACUGAGUGGCGGACGGGUGAGUAACGCGUGGGUAACCUGCCUCAUACAGGGGGAUAGCAGCUGGAAACGGCUGGUAAUACCGCAUAAGCGCACAGUACCACAUGGUACAGUGUGAAAAACUCCGGUGGUAUGAGAUGGACCCGCGUCUGAUUAGCUAGUUGGCGGGGUAACGGCCCACCAAGGCGACGAUCAGUAGCCGACCUGAGAGGGUGACCGGCCACAUUGGGACUGAGACACGGCCCAGACUCCUACGGGAGGCAGCAGUGGGGAAUAUUGCACAAUGGUGGAAACUCUGAUGCAGCGACGCCGCGUGAGUGAAGAAGUAGUUCGCUAUGUAAAGCUCUAUCAGCAGGGAAGAUAGUGACGGUACCUGACUAAGAAGCUCCGGCUAAAUACGUG
rnacentral:rRNA from 1 species